UACGGCGGCCACAGCGACAGGGAAACGCCCGGUCCCAUCCCGAACCCGGAAGCUAAGCCUGUCAGCGCCGAUGAUACUGCCC
rnacentral:rRNA from 1 species